rnacentral:rRNA from 1 species
UACGUAGGGUGCAAGCGUUGUCCGGAAUUCUUGGGCGUAAAGAGCUCGUAGGCGGUCUGUCACGUCGGCUGUGAAAACCCGAGGCUCAACCUCGGGCCUGCAGUCGAUACGGGCAAACUAGAGUGUUGCAGGGGAGACUGGAAUUCCUGGUGUAGCGGUGAAAUGCGCAGAUAUCAGGAGGAACACCGGUGGCGAAGGCGGGUCUCUGGGCCGAUACUGACGCUGAGGAGCGAAAGCGUGGGGAGCAAACAGG